rnacentral:lncRNA from 1 species
AAAUCGAUUAUAAAAUGAGCAACGAAAAAUCAUAUUUGUAGCAAAUGUCAGAAAAAACAAUUAUAAAACAACAAAAUUUGUUGUAGAUAUCUCAUUAUGUCAACUAAAUAAACAAAAUUUAAAGUAAAAACCUAUUUCUAAUUAAAAAUGGAUAUUACUACUAACACAAAUCUUUAUCGAAAUUAUAUGAUAAUGUAAUGGAUUUUGUACAAGCUAGCGAUCAGACUAUUAGCAAUAAAUUUUAACAACGUAAACCAUAGAUAAAUCCACUGCAGCAAAAUUAAUGAUACAAACUUAUAUAUAGAAGCUGGUACUUAACAAAAAC